AUUGAACGCUGGCGGCAUGCCUUACACAUGCAAGUCGAACGGCAGCACGGGUGCUUGCACCUGGUGGCGAGUGGCGAACGGGUGAGUAAUACAUCGGAACGUACCUUAUCGUGGGGGAUAACGCAGCGAAAGCUGUGCUAAUACCGCAUACGCCCUGAGGGGGAAAGCGGGGAUCGCAAGACCUCGCGCGAUCAGAGCGGCCGAUGCCUGAUUAGCUUGUUGGUGGGGUAAAAGCCCACCAAGGCGACGAUCAGUAGCUGGUCUGAGAGGACGAUCAGCCACACUGGGACUGAGACACGGCCCAGACUCCUACGGGAGGCAGCAGUGGGGAAUUGUGGACAAUGGGGGCAACCCUGAUCCAGCAAUGCCGCGUGAGUGAAGAAGGCCUUCGGGUUGUAAAGCUCUUUUGUCAGGGAAGAAACACCGGCUCUAACACAGUCCGGGAAUGACGGUACCUGAAGAAUAAGCACCGGCUAACUACGUGCCAGCAGCCGCCGUAA
rnacentral:rRNA from 1 species